UGUGGAUGAUGAUCAAGUUGUUCCUGAUAAAAACUGAGGGUUAAAACUGAUUUAAUGAGCCUGACAC